rnacentral:rRNA from 1 species
CCUACGGGGGGCUGUAGUGGGGAAUAUUGGACAAUGGGCGAAAGCCUGAUCCAGCCAUGCCGCGUGUGUGAAGAAGGCCUUCGGGUUGUAAAGCACUUUCAGUGGGGAAGAAAGCCUUGGGGCUAAUACCCUCGAGGAAGGACAUCACCCACAGAAGAAGCACCGGCUAACUCCGUGCCAGCAGCCGCGGUAAUACGGAGGGUGCGAGCGUUAAUCGGAAUUACUGGGCGUAAAGCGCGCGUAGGCGGUCUGAUAAGCCGGUUGUGAAAGCCCCGGGCUCAACCUGGGAACGGCAUCCGGAACUGUCAGGCUAGAGUGCAGGAGAGGAAGGUAGAAUUCCCGGUGUAGCGGUGAAAUGCGUAGAGAUCGGGAGGAAUACCAGUGGCGAAGGCGGCCUUCUGAACUGACACUGACGCUGAGGUGCGAAAGCGUGGGUAGCAAACAGGAUUAGAUACCCCAGUAGUC